AACGUGUCGCGAUGGAUGACUUGUCUUCCUAUUUAGUUGAAGAACGCAGUAAAGUGCGAUAAGUGGUAUCAAUUGCAGAAUCAUUCAAUUACCGAAUCUUUGAACGCAAACGGCGAAUGGGAGAAGCUCUAUUGCGUCAUCCCCGUGCAUGCCAUAUUCUCAGUGUAAA
rnacentral:rRNA from 1 species